rnacentral:pre_miRNA from 1 species
AAAGUACUCCCUCUGUCCCAAAAUUCUUGUCUUAGAUUUGUCUAGAUACGGAUGUAUCAAGUCACAGAUACAUCCGUAUCUAGACAAAUCUAAGACAAGAAAUUUGGGACAGAGGGAGUAGUUG